AUCAGAAGACCUGCAUAACUCGGAUGGUAGAUACAACUGGUGGGAUUAGAGCAUUUGUCACUGACAGACAUAGAGGAAAUGGAUUUAAAGGAAGGAUCGCAUGUCCAGGGCAUGGCCAGUCGGUAAUGGAAUACGUGUACAGGGCAAGCUGCAAUUUAGUGUCACUGAGUUUGAGAACUAGGAAUGCAGCCAACUAUCUGGAAUUGCUAUGGGCAUUGCUUACAUUCAAUGCCGGCAUGGUGUAUAUUUAUAUACCCACUGUCCUGUUGCAAUUAUUUGUACAGUUUAUCAGUUGGG